rnacentral:rRNA from 1 species
UACGUAGGGUGCAAGCGUUGUCCGGAAUUAUUGGGCGUAAAGAGCUCGUAGGUGGUUUGUCGCGUUGUUCGUGAAAACUCACAGCUCAACUGUGGGCGUGCGGGCGAUACGGGCAUCACUGGAGUUCGGCAGGGGAGACUGGAAUUCCUGGUGUAGCGGUGAAAUGCGCAGAUAUCAGGAGGAACACCGGUGGCGAAGGCGGGUCUCUGGGCCGAUACUGACGCUGAGGAGCGAAAGCGUGGGGAGCAAACAGG